GCAUCGAUGAAGAACGCAGCGAAAUGCGAUAAGUAAUGUGAAUUGCAGAAUUCAGUGAAUCAUCGAAUCUUUGAACGCACAUUGCGCCCGCCAGUAUUCUGGCGGGCAUGCCUGUCCGAGCGUCAUUUCAACCCUCGAACCCCUCCGGGGGGUCGGCGUUGGGGAUCGGCCCUGCCUUGGCGGUGGCCGUCUCCGAAAUACAGUGGCGGUCUCGCCGCAGCCUCUCCUGCGCAGUAGUUUGCACACUCGCAUCGGGAGCGCGGCGCGUCCACAGCCGUUAAACACCCAACUUCUGAAAUGUUGACCUCGGAUCAGGUAGGAAUACCCGCUGAACUUAAGCAUAUCAAUAAGCGGAGGA
rnacentral:rRNA from 2 species